GGAAAUGAACGAAAUGGACUGGAUUUCAGCAGACAGAUUAAGACGGAAGACCUCGGUGACUCUUUGCAAACCGCCAUUCCCUCCAGAUCAAGCCACCUGGUACAAGGGCCCUCGAUGAUGCCUGGAGGGCAAAUUGCUGGGGAUAUGAGUUCUCUUCACACGUUACAACAGCUCGUGCAGGUUCCAGGCCACAUGCAAUCCGUCCCCCUUUUCCUGCUUUCUCAGGGCCCAGGAGGACAACAAGCUCUGCAACCAAAUCUCCUCUCCUUUCCUCAGCAGCAGAGUGGGAUCCUCCUUCCCCAACAUGGGCACAGCUUGAC